rnacentral:misc_RNA from 1 species
CUGCCCUCAAGCACGGCUUGUGUGUUGGGCCCCCGUCCCCCCCUCCCGGGGGACGGGCCCGAAAGGCAGCGGCGGCACCGCGUCCGGCCCUCGAGCGUAUGGGGCUUUGUCACCCGCUCUGUAGGCCCGGCCGGCGCUUGCCGACCACCAUCAAUCUUUUUUCA